rnacentral:rRNA from 1 species
ACGAACGCUGGCGGCGCGCCUAACACCUGCAAGUCGAACGAGCGAGAGAGAGCUUGCUUUCUUGAGCGAGUGGCGAACGGGUGAGUAACGCGUGAGGAACCUGCCUCAAAGAGGGGGACAACAGUUGGAAACGACUGCUAAUACCGCAUAAGCCCACGGUGCCGCAUGGCACAGAGGGAAAAGGAGCAAUCCGCUUUGAGAUGGCCUCGCGUCCGAUUAGCUAGUUGGUGAGGUAACGGCCCACCAAGGCGACGAUCGGUAGCCGGACUGGGAGGUUGAACGGCCACAUUGGGACUGAGACACGGCCCAGACUCCUACGGGAGGCAGCAGUGGGGAAUAUUGCACAAUGGGGGAAACCCUGAUGCAGCGACGCCGCGUGGAGGAAGAAGGUCUUCGGAUUGUAAACUCCUGUUGUUGGGGAAGAUAAUGACGGUACCCAACAAGGAAGUGACGGCUAACUACGUG